rnacentral:rRNA from 1 species
AGGACGAACGCUGGCGGCGUGCUUAACACAUGCAAGUCGAACGGAAAGGCCCUUUCGGGGGUGCUCGAGUGGCGAACGGGUGAGUAACACGUGGGUGAUCUGCCCUGCACUUUGGGAUAAGCCUGGGAAACUGGGUCUAAUACCGGAUAGGACUACGGCCUGCAUGGGUUGUGGUGGAAAGCUUUUGCGGUGUGGGAUGGGCCCGCGGCCUAUCAGCUUGUUGGUGGGGUGAUGGCCUACCAAGGCGACGACGGGUAGCCGGCCUGAGAGGGUGUCCGGCCACACUGGGACUGAGAUACGGCCCAGACUCCUACGGGAGGCAGCAGUGGGGAAUAUUGCACAAUGGGCGCAAGCCUGAUGCAGCGACGCCGCGUGAGGGAUGACGGCCUUCGGGUUGUAAACCUCUUUCAGCAUCGACGAAGCGCAAGUGACGGUAGAUGCAGAAGAAGCACCGGCCAACUACGCGCCAGCAGCCGCGGU